CCGGUAGCUAACGGUUCCAGAGCUCCCGGGCCGGCCUUUGCGGCCGGGUAAACGGCGCUGUGAGCUCGGCCCAGCGCCAGGGGCUGGAAAGCGCCGGGAGACGAGGGCUGGCGGGUUCAUCAAGCUCUCUCUCCAGAUCCUCCAGCACAGUCACUGCCUCCUCUCCAGUCUCUGGAUGGUGUGCCUGCACCCAUGCUUGCAGGUCCCUGGGGAGAAUGCUUAGGAAUUGUUCAAGCACCAGCAGGUCUAAAAUCUGCUCUUUUGUGUGGCAUUCUGGCCUCAGCCACUGGCGGCAAAGGUCCCAGAGCUGGGAACCGGGAGAGACUCACCUCACGCCAGGAGGAACAGGUGCGACAGCUAGCGUCCUUUGGGGCGGCCCGAACAAAGACUGACCGACCAAUCGACGCUCCGCUGCUUUCAGCCAGGCACUUCCGGGCCGCUCUAGGAAGCCUCGCCUCGGUGGAGCUAAUCCUAGCUCGCGGAGGACCCCACUUGUGAACAUUUGACUUAUGGGACUUAAUCCCUCGCUGAUGUUUUCUUUGCCUUUUUUUUUUUUAAAGUUCCCUCUCAAAUUUUUUGACUCAAUUAUUAAACAAUAUGAAUAUGUAAUGCAUUCACAGGGUUCAAUAUUUAUAAAGAAUUAUAACCUAUAGUGGAAACGAAUCUGAAAAAGAAUAUAAAUAUAUGUAAUAAUUGAAUCACUGCUAUAUACCUGGAACUAAUACAACAUUGUAAAUUACGCGCGCGCGCACACACACACAAACACACGGUAGCAGUUCUGCAACUUUUUUUUCCCCCUUCUACUAAUUGAUUCUGGAAUUUGUACAUAAAAGACUUCUUUCAUUUUGCUCUUUUUUCUUUUAAAGAAAAAUAAUCACAUAGGGUUCAACUAUGCCAUAAUUUAUUAAUAGUGACCCUGUUGAUGGUUAUGUAGGUUUUCUUUUUCAAUAAAUUACUCUGCACAUAACUUCUUGUGUAUAAGGGUAUAUCCAUAGUGUAUAUUUCUAGAGCUAAGGAUUUACUAGAGCGCAGAGUUGGAGCAUUUGUAUUUUUGUUACUGCCAAAUUACUAAUCUUGGAACUCACUUGUGAUGUUAAUUUAUACUUGUCAACAUAAUGUUACAAAAUAUUUUGAUCCAAAAUUGAUAAUUAAAGAAUUUACAUUAAAACAAUGAGAUUUUUAAAAUCCUGGAUUAUGAAAAAGAUUGAUAAUAUUUCAUAUUGAAAAGUAUGUGGAAAUAGAGGCACUGUUAGUUGUAAAUUUUUGGAAGCCAAGAGCUGUUAAAAUUAGUAUGUCCAUACCUCUUGAUCCAGCAACUUAGCUUUGAAUUAUCCAUAUAAAGUAGUUUUACAAAUGUUUGAACAUGUACACAAACAUUUUUUAUAUUGGAAAAUCCAAACAUCUAACAUUUGGGAAUUAAAAUUUCUACAUGCCCAAUCAUUUUUAAAAGUAAAAACUAUAAGAUGCCAAAGGCAUACGAGUAAACAAACAGUAUAUGAUAUGAUCAUUUGUGUAAAAUAAUCAUCUUAAAUGCAUUCUCAAUGAUUAUCACUUGGGAUAAAAGAGAACCCGCACUUUUUUUUUUUAUACACUAUAUUUGUUUUAAUUUUAUAAAAGCCUAAUACUGGUGUAAACAGAAAAAUAAUUUUUUUAAACCUUGUUUAUUUUUCACAACUUACAAAUAAUUUUCCUGUUUGCAAUAUCUCUUUUCUCUCUCUGAAAUUCUUUGCCUGACAAGUUAGCCUGUAAAAGAAUGUAACUCCUUUAAGAUGAAAAUCAGAUCCAACUUCCCUGUGCUUCUGAAGGGUAAAUACAAGUAAUCAAGUAAACCUAGGUGGAACAUUUAGAAAGGGUGUAAAAAUGAAUUAUCAAGUAAGCUUUAUAAAAUUUAGACAAAGGAUAACCCCUGCUCUGCAUAAUAUGUCUCGCACAGCCAAUUGAGCAAGUAGAAAAUCUAAAAAGUGCUUAAGUAUUUGCUUCUCCUUCAGUGCAUGAUGGACUAUUAGCAUGUCUCUCCUUAUUUAAUGUUUGUUCUAUCAAAUUCUCUUACCAGGUUUUCAAACACAAACCUCACUACAGGCCAUGAACUUCCUGAGUAGCUGAGUCUUCUUCAGAUACCCCUGACUUCAGUCACUCGUCAGCUUCAGAGAAUCAACUCACCAGUCCCUUGGAGCACUGGCUGGGGUUGAGUGGUUGAACACCAGACAAAAUGAGGCUUCCAACCAUUGUCACGGAUAUCCUGUUAAAACUCUGUCUCUGCUGUUGGCUUAGGUAUGUCCUUCCUCUACUGGAAUAAAGCCUCUCUGACCUCUUUACCAAGACAUAAGCAGCCAGUUUGUGUAUGACAAGGAGAGCUUUCCCUCUUCCCCUUCUAGUUAUAUCUCCCAGAAAGACUAAGAAACAAAACAAAGCAAAAUAAAAACCCAGAAAAAACAAUAGUUGACAACUUAAAAAAAAUCAGUACUUGGUGGAUAUAUACACUCACUUGCUUUCAAUAUUUAAACAGACAGAAACAAAAUGAACUAAGAAUUCAACUCAAGAAAUCAGAAAAAGAAUGAGGAAGAAACUCCCAAAGAAAAGGUUAGAGAAGAAAUCAAGAUAAAAGGAGAAGUAAAUGAAUUAGAAAAUAGAAAAAGUCAUGUUAAUAAAUAAACCUAAGAAUGAAAUCUUUGUAAACAAGCCCAUAAAAACAACAAACCCAUGGUAAAUCCAACUGAGAGAAAAAUUAUCAAUGUUUCCUCAUCAGAUAAUAUCAGCAUCUCAUCAAAUAAUAGCAGGUGAGGAAAUAAGUAUGCUACCGAAAAAUUUUAAAACUCUUAAUGAAAAACCAUUAGUUCCAAAAUUCAUUCAAGAAAUUGAUAAAUCUAAGUCAGUACUAAAUAACGGAAAAAAAACCCCCAAACAAACACAAAACUAUUAAAGAAUCAUCUCCAGGAAGGCUCAGAUAUUCUGUAGCAUUUUAAUUUUUAAAAAGUUUACAUGUAUAGAUGAAUUCUAACUUUUCCAUUUGGAAUAUAAAAGAAAUAGAAAGAAUAGGAAUCUAUUUUCAUCACCUAUAUGCAGUUACUGUUGACAUUUUGUUGUCAUUUACUUCCAAUUUUUGCUAUUUUAAAUGUUUAAAAUAGUUGUGUGAUCUUAUUCUAUAAACAUUUUAGUAGGCUGCUUAA